rnacentral:rRNA from 1 species
UACGUAGGAGACAAACGUUAUCCGGAGUUACUGGGCGUAAAGGGCGUGUAGGUGGUUUCGUAAGUCUGGCGUGAAAUUUUUCGGCUUAACCGGGAAAGGUCGUCGGAUACUGCGGAACUAGAGGACGGUAGAGGCGUGUGGAAUUCCGGGUGUAGUGGUGAAAUGCGUAGAGAUCCGGAGGAACACCAGUGGCGAAGGCGACACGCUGGGCCGUACCGUGACCACUGAUGCGCGACAGCAUGGGGGAGCCAAACAGGGAGUUAGAAUAACCCCAGAGUCCACG